rnacentral:rRNA from 1 species
AGUGAACGCUGGCGGUAGGCCUAACACAUGCAAGUCGAACGGCAGCACAGUAAGAGCUUGCUCUUACGGGUGGCGAGUGGCGGACGGGUGAGGAAUACAUCGGAAUCUACUUUUUCGUGGGGGAUAACGUAGGGAAACUUACGCUAAUACCGCAUACGACCUACGGGUGAAAGCAGGGGAUCUUCGGACCUUGCGCGAUUGAAUGAGCCGAUGUCGGAUUAGCUAGUUGGCGGGGUAAAGGCCCACCAAGGCGACGAUCCGUAGCUGGUCUGAGAGGAUGAUCAGCCACCCUGGAACUGGGACACGGUCCAGACUCCUACGGGAGGCCGCAGUGGGGAAUAUUGGACAAUGGGCGCAAGCCUGAUCCAGCCAUACCGCGUGGGUGAAGAAGGCCUUCGGGUUGUAAAGCCCUUUUGUUGGGAAAGAAAAGCAGCAGGUUAAUACCCCGCUGUUCUGACGGUACCCAAAGAAUAAGCACCGGCUAACUUCGUG